rnacentral:rRNA from 1 species
GAACGCUAGCGGCAGGCUUAAUACAUGCAAGUCGUGGGGCAGCAUGAGUAGCAAUACUUGAUGGCGACCGGCAAACGGGUGAGGAACACGUACACAACCUUCCUUCAAGCGGGGAAUAGCCCAGAGAAAUUUGGAUUAUACCCCAUAAUAUAUUUGAUAAGGCAUCUUAUUAAUAUUAAAGCUUCGGCACUUGAUGAUGGGUGUGCGGCUGAUUAGAUAGUUGGCGGGGUAACGGCCCACCAAGUCUACGAUCAGUAGCUGAUGUGAGAGCAUGAUCAGCCACACGGGCACUGAGACACGGGCCCGACUCCUACGGGAGGCAGCAGUAAGGAAUAUUGGACAAUGGACGAAAGUCUGAUCCAGCCAUGCCGCGUGAAGGAUUAAGGUCCUCUGGAUUGUAAACUUCUUUUAUAUGGGACGAAAAAAGGGCAUUCUUGUUCACUUGACGGUACCAUAUGAAUAAGCACCGGCUAACUCCGUG